rnacentral:rRNA from 1 species
UCCCAGACUCCUACGGGAGGCAGCAGUGGGGAAUAUUGCACAAUGGGGGAAACCCUGAUGCAGCGACGCCGCGUGAGUGAAGAAGUAAUUCGUUAUGUAAAGCUCUAUCAGCAGGGAAGAAAAUGACGGUACCUGAGUAAGAAGCCCCGGCUAACUACGUGCCAGCAGCCGCGGUAAUACGUAGGGGGCAAGCGUUAUCCGGAUUUACUGGGUGUAAAGGGAGCGUAGACGGCAGUGCAAGUCCGGAGUGAAAGCCCGGGGCUCAACCCUGGGACUGCUCUGGAAACUGUAAAGCUGGAGUGCGGGAGGGGCAGGCGGAAUUCCUGGUGUAGCGGUGAAAUGCGUAGAUAUCAGGAGGAACACCGGCGGCGAAGGCGGCCUGCUGGACCGUAACUGACGUUGAGGCUCGAAAGCGUGGGGAGCAAACAGGAUUAGAUACCCCCGUAU